AAACACGUUCAACUAGUUUGUGUCUACUUGGGAGUAAAAUUCCUGAUUGGUUUAGCUAUCAAAGUUCAGGAUCUUCAAUAGCUAUUGUGCUACCUCAGCAUUGGUGCAAUAAAAAGUUCAUUGGAUUUGCUCUGUGUGUUGUUAUUGCAUUUGAGGGGAGUUAUUGUGGUCGUGGUCUCUAUGCUGGUUCUUCUUAAUCACCAGUUUCAAACCAAUGAUAAUCAAUGGGAUCACUUUAUAUUUGGAUUGAACCUUUCUAUUACUGGUAGGUGGCCUAUCGCAUUUAUUGAUCUUGAACACAUUGUACUGGGUAUAGUCUUGUUCGGGUUCUUAAGGGAGAAUAUACAACUGCCUCUUUUAAGUUCUGUCCAUCUAUCUAUGGUUACAAAGGCCUUGUAAAAGGUUGCAAGGCGAAAUGUUGUGGGGUAUCUCUACUAUAUAUACAGCCCAAUGUGAUCCACUCUGACCUUUCUAUCAAGAAUUUGGCUCAUAUGAUAACAACAGUGGAUCACCUUAAAACUAGGAAGUGCCAUGCUGAUUACAACCCUAAUCAGACUAAUUCAACUGAAAUUAGAAGUGGAGGAACUGAUAAUGAGUUAGAGCCAUAUAAAAGAGUUUGCAAAAUUUGAAAUCAAUGCUUGUUGAUUGUGACUCUUCUACAAUUAGACUUUUGGGUCUUUGUCUGACUAUCAAAUCUAUUUAUGGUUUCUCUAUCGACUUCUGGUUGAAGAAACAUGCAAUCGUAUUUGAUUCUUGCAGACUCUAAUGGACCUAUGAUUGGUCAAUUUCUUUGAUUAUGAAAAGGACAAGCAUUUUGUUCUGUGUGGUGGAGGGACAAUUACUGGUUUUGAUUCUCUGUGGAAACCCGAUUGCAAAAUUGCCUAAUAGCAGGUGGCUUGCUUGUACAACGGAUCCCUAGGCUGAAUACUCGACUCAUUUCAUCCAAAUAGCAAGCUUCUUUGAUCUCCUCAUCCAAAGCAUCGAUAAUAGGGUUGCCAUUUUGAAGAUGUCGCCAUGCCCAUUUGACGAGGAUAUUGCUUGAUUUCACAUCCCGAUGGACAAUGGGCGGGCAGCAGUCAUGAUGCAUGUAACAGAGUCCCUUGGCAGCUCCCACUGCAAUCUGCAUCCUCUUGGGCCAGUCCAGGGCAAAAUCAUCGAUUGAGC